rnacentral:lncRNA from 1 species
CAAAUCUUAAACAUAGAUUAUCUCCCUUUGCUGUUAAUUAACAUGAACUAUCUCCCUUUGCUUCUUUUUUAGCUCACCUGGCCCAAAGGGCCAAGUGAGCUUUUCUCAUCACUUGGCGUCCGGCGUCCGGCGUCCGGCGUCCGUCGUCCGUCGUCGUCGUCGUCCGUCGUUAGCUUUUACAAAAAUCUUCUCCUCUGAAACUACUGGGCCAAUUUUUACCAAACUUGGCCACAAUCAUUAUUAGGGUAUCUAGUUUAAAAAUUGUGUCCGGUGACCCGGCCAACCAACCAAGAUGGCCACCAUGGCUAAAAAUAGAACAUAGGGGUAAAAUGCAGUUUUUGGCUUAUAACUCAAAAACCAAAGCAUUUAGAGCAAAUCUGACAUGGGGUAAAAUGGUUAAUCAGGUCUAGAUCUAUCUGCCCUGAAAUUUUGAGAUGAAUCGGACAACCCGUUGAUAGGUUGCUGCCCCUGAAUUGGUAAUUUUAAGGAAAUUUUGCUGUUUUUGGUUAUUAUCUUGAAUAUUAUCAUAGAUAGAGAUAAACUGUAAACAACAAAAAUGUUCAGUAAAGUAAGAUCUACAAAUAAGUCA